rnacentral:rRNA from 1 species
UACGGAGGGGGCAAGCGUUGUUCGGAAUUACUGGGCGUAAAGGGCUCGUAGGUGGCCAACUAAGUCAGACGUGAAAUCCCCAGGCUUAACCUGGGAACUGCGUCUGAUACUGGAUGGCUUGAAUUCGGGAGAGGGAUGCAGAAUUCCAGGUGUAGCGGUGAAAUGCGUAGAUAUCUGGAGGAAUACCGGUGGCGAAGGCGGCAUCCUGGACCGAUAUUGACACUGAUGAGCGAAAGCCAGGGGAGCAAACGGG